AGCUUUGCGCAGUGGCAGUACCAUAGCCAAUGAGGUUUUACCGAGGCGUGGUUAUUGCUAGUUGAAAACUUAUCCCAAUAUCCCGCAAUGACGACGUGAAAUACCGUCGGCAUUUGCAAUUUUUGGAGACCACCACGGUGG